UACGUAGGGGGCUAGCGUUGUCCGGAAUCAUUGGGCGUAAAGCGCGCGUAGGCGGCCCGAUAAGUCUGCUGUGAAAGUCCAGGGCUCAACCCUGGAAUGCCGGUGGAUACUGUCGGGCUAGAGUUCGGAAGAGGCAAGUGGAAUUCCUGGUGUAGCGGUAGAAUGCGCAGAUAUCAGGAGGAACACCUAUAGCGAAGGCAGCUUGCUGGGACGACACUGACGCUGAGGCGCGAAAGCAUGGGGAGCGAACAGG
rnacentral:rRNA from 1 species